rnacentral:lncRNA from 1 species
UAGAAAAAUCACCUGGAAAACUAGCAUUUGUCAGUACAACUCUGGAGCUCAAAAUGAGUGUGUGCAAGCAAUACAGGAGAAAGAAGCAAGAAGAUAAAGUAAGAGAGAGAAGCCUCUGGGAGGGUCCUGCCAACACCAGUACUGACCAGUUCAAGGUUCGUGGAGCAUUAUCAUCAUUCAGAGGUUCUCAGUGGCAAAUUGUAGCACUCUUGUUUCCUGAUGAACAGGUCUGUUCCAAAUGCAUUAUUACUCAUGAGACUAAAGCAAUAAAUAAUUAUAGAGUAUAAG